UACGGAGGGUGCUAGCGUUGUUCGGAAUCACUGGGCGUAAAGCGCGUGUAGGCGGCCUCCCAAGUCUGAUGUGAAAGCCCGGGGCUCACCCCCGGAAGUGCAUUGGAAACUGUGAGGCUCGAGUCCCGGAGAGGAGAGUGGAAUUCCUGGUGUAGCGGUGAAAUGCGCAGAUAUCAGGAGGAACACCGGUGGCGAAGGCGGAUCUCUGGGCCAUUACUGACGCUGAGGAGCGAAAGCGUGGGGAGCGAACAGG
rnacentral:rRNA from 1 species